rnacentral:lncRNA from 1 species
CAUUAAUAUUAACUGAUUUAGGUAACGUACCACAGUCUGGCUAGAAGACUGAGUUGGUGAAGGAGGUGUGAUUUCUACUGGUUUGGUUGUAGGAGCUUUCUGGUUGUCUAUGACUGCCUUAACACAAUCAGCUUCCUUGGCCUUAAGUUCAUCCCAAUCAGUUUUGACUAUAAAUUCAUGGGAAAUAAAAUCUAGAGUCUUAUCAGUGCAAACGUAUACUUCAACCAAGCAUGCAUCAUGAAGGAGAUAGCCUCUUUUAAGGUUGUGUAAUUCAGUAAGACGUAAGAAUGAAGUGAAGCCCCAAUCAGCCUGCCUCGCGUUGAAACAAUGGUGAGUGACUGCCAAAAACAACAGUGCCUUAUCAUCAACAACCAGUUCAGUACAGAAGCUGACAGACUCUACGAAGAAAGGAUGGCAUAGAUAAAAUAUUUGGCAUCUGGACUUCAACAGUUUUGACCAUACCAACGCCUCAAACAAGCUGAGCUUUAGGUAAUAUGAAUUCAAAGCUUCCUUUAUAAACCCCGAAACUUCUUCGUAGUGGCUCUUCCAUGCUUCAUUACAUUAUAUAUUGUCAUUUGGUUCUAGUCUAUCAUUUCUAUUUCUAUGUAUGCUUGUACGUGGAAAGCUCAAGCAUUCCCCAAUGAGACAGAGCCCCAGUUGAACAUACAAAAUAAAUGCAAAACAGAACAAGAGGAAGCAAUAGCCAUUGUUUUCCUAAAGCUUUGACAAAUGACAAGUAACCGAGUAAUAACAAAAAGAGUCGAAUUACACAACUGGUUCACGCAGUCACUCUUAAGAGCUAGCAUUCAGCAUAUCAGUGACCCUUCCCUUAUUCCUAUAUUAUGGCUAUCUUAUAUAGCCUCUUUAAACCCAUUAAAUAAGAACAAGAAUAAAAUGCUGAUCCCUUGUUGGUACUACGAAAUUGUGAUUGCUACAACAAAUAACAAUAUACCUUUUGUACUAGAAGUUUCACGAUCCAAUUGAUCGAUGACUCCGAAUCCGACUUGGGCAUAUUUACUCCAUCCGUAAGGCAGAGUAGCUGAAUCUGCAACAUCUAAAUAAAUUGACAAAUGAUCCACAUUGUUCCCCUUGGGGAAGAUAAGAACUCGCCUGCCAAAUAAGUUUGUAAAUCUGAGUCAUAGGGAGAUGAAAACUGGAAAUAAAAACAUAAAGCAACAACAAGAAGAAAAAGAUCAAAGUUACCAUUUGUAGCUAUCAAAUGUAAAAACUUCAGAGUAGAGCUUUUUGUCUACAAGACUGGAGAAAUUCUGAAUCCUCCAUGUGAACUUCUUUAUUUUUACAUCAAUAUCCAUAUAUUGAAACUUACUAUCCACUGCACUCAAAAUCUUAAACAUUACAAAACAUACAUAAUAAUAGAAGAAAGGAUUAUAAGUAGAAGCUAUACCUGCCAUUACGAGAGAAUGUGGUGCUACCUGCAGUGCAGAAAAGUGGAGGGGAUGAAGAUUCAAGGUUCCUUAGAGUUCCAAGUUUGUUUAAAUAUUGACAAGUCCUCUUCUUUUGUCAAAAGUUAGUUGACUUAAACUACUUAGGCUUUAAGCUAUCCUUUAUUAUUUUCUUUCACUGUUUAUAAAAAUUAAUAGAAAGUUAUGUAAAUAAUUUUUAUAUUUAUUUAAAAAAUAAAAAAUGAUGGCAAUUCUAUUAGUUGGGUCACUCAAGUAUUAAUGUAUUUCUAUUUUGGUCAUCUAAUUUCAAACAUUUUCAAUUCUAUCACCAAAAUUAUCAAUGUUGAUUUUUUUUUUGCUUAUAUGUCAAAAAAGCCCUUAAGAAAAUGCAAACAAAGAAAAUCAAUUAAGCCCCUAUAUUAAAUUCACACUCAACUAACCUCCUAUCCUUAACUAAAAUAAUCAAUUAAGCCCUUCCAGUAACAAUUUCCGUCAUUGACUACGUUGACUAUUAAAAUAAAUUGAUGGACCAAUUAAAUAGUGACAUGUGGCAACUUUUGGUUUAAUAUAAUAUUUUCCCUUAAAAAUCAUAAAAAAUAAAAAAUUAUAAAAAGAUAUUAAAAUUUAUAUAAACUUAUAAAUAUUAUAAAAAUAUAAAAAAUUAAUGAAACCUAUUUAAAAUAAAAUAUAUAUUAGAAUUCUUUAAAAAAAUAUUAAAAUUAUUAAAAUUGUAUAAACUUAUAAAAAUUAUAAAACAAUCAUAGAAACUUGAAUUGUACCAAUUAGCCCAAAGUCUCAAGUUUACCAAUUCGAAAAAAGUCAUUAGAUUGGUUGACUUGGGAACUGGACGAUUGAAUCGAUUUUUUUUUAUUUUUUAAUAAUUUUUAUCAAACAAAAAUUUUAUUAUCCAACUAUUAGUAUAUACCAUAAUGAAAUAUCCUGACCAAGGUUUCCAUAAUUGAACAGCUGGUCGAGUCGUUCAAGCCAUUGAUUUUACAGUUAGACUAAUUCAUCCAAUUCAAUUAAAUAAAACAUUAAAAAUAAAAAAAUAUAUUAAAAAUUUGAUUCAACCAUCCGGUUUCCAGGUCAACCGAUCUAAUGACUUUCUCCAAAUUGAUACCCUUAUCGAUUUCGGUCUAAUCGGUCAAACAAAUUGAUCCAAUCCAAUUUAAGUUUUUAUGAUUUUUUUUAUAAUUUUUAUAAGUUUAAAAUCGGACCUUGUUAAAUUAAAAAUAGAUAGGGCAUUUUUAAAAGACCUUGGAAAAUUAAAAACAAUUCGAAUUGACUCAAAACCUAUUAGGCUUAAAACAAAUUUAGACUCUUAAUUUGGGCUAAUUUUAAAUUUUAUUUGGAUUUUUUAAAAAUUAAUUUGGCUCUAAAAAAUCAAUUUGAGUUUCUAAAACAAAUCAAAUUGGACUUCUUUAAAAACAGAUUUGACAACAAAAUUUUCAAAACAAAAUCCAAAUAAAUUUAGGUUUUGAGUAGCAAAUUUAAAGAACAUCAGAUUGGGUUUUGAAAAACAAUAAAAUUGGGCCUUAGCCUUAAUAUCAAGCCCAAAAGGAUCUGAAAACCCAAAAGGAUUUUUACUUAAAAUUCAUUUGAUUUUUGGGUAAACCCACAAAUGGUCACCCAACUAUGCACGUGUUCUUGUUCUGGUCACUGAACUUUAAAAAAUUUUAAUUUAAACACUGAUAUUUGAAUUCGUUCCUGUUUUGAUCAGCCACCGUUAAAUUGGUAACGGUAUAAUAACACAUUUAGUCCUCAAUACUUACAUAUUUUAGCAUUUUGAUCUUAAUUAUAAAUAAUUCAAUAAAUUUAACCCUUCACGUUUACAAAUUGUAUCAAUUUGAUUAUCAAACUUACUAAUCAAAGUUUUCAACUUUUAUAAAUGUGAACCCUAAAAAAGAAAAAAAAACUUCUCUCAACUAAUGAGUCGUUUUCCGAGCUAAUUCUUGAUACCAAUAAGUUUCUCUUGAAAAAAAUUUAUAGUGUUAGUAUUUUAUAGUGUUGGUGCUGGAAUAAUUUUUGUUAUUGUUUGCGAUAAUAUAAAUUUUUUUGGCCCUUAAACUCGGCUAUUAGGUUCAAUUUUGAGAUUAUAUCACAUCAUUGCUUGAAAAUUAAUACAUAUAAUUCUAGGUGAUAAUAUGGUAUAACCUUAGAGAGUCGCACAUAGAUUUUAAUAAUCGAGCCAAUAAUUCAAUCAGUCAAACUUUUGGUUCUUGAUUCAAUUGGUUUGUUCAGUUUAGUUGCUAGACCAAUAAUUACUAAUGCGACAUUAAACUAUUAGAAAUGGAUAAUAUCCCUGUUUUAUAAAAUCCUUUCUCUAUUGUGGAAUUCAAAUUUUAGUUUUUAAACAAAUCCCAACAUUAAUGUUAUAAAAUAAAAGAAAUUUAGCUAGAAAUAUAAAGAAAUAAAAGAAUGCUAUAAAAGACCAUAAUUGAGAAUGUUGACCUUAUUUUUUUUAUUGAAAACGGGGUCGACUUGGGUUUUGAAAAAAAGAAACAGGAGUCGCCACCAAUCCUUUUUUUUAUGAGGUGUGAUUGGAUCACCUCGAAAAGGAGUUGUUUUUAAUAAACGGUUUGAUUUUAUUAAAACAACAAGUUUGGUCCACGAAAUUCAGAAAAACGGGUUCGGGAGUCAGUUACGCACGAGGAAGGAUUAGCACCCUCGAUACGCCCAAAAUUGGUACCUAGUUGAUUACUUAAUGUCUUAAUGUCGAAAAUUGAGAACCUUGAAGAAUUUUAAAAAUACGAUCAUUGUAUUAAAACGUUAAAAAUUUUCAGGAAAAGGGCAUGUUUCACGUUAUUCGAGAAAGAGAAUUAUAUCCAGUAAGUUAGGACACAAUAUCUCGAAUUCCCGAUACGUGAAUGAAAAUGCUUGUUCAAAAGAUAUUUAACUAUCUUGGAUUAAAAAAGAGAUCGCGGCCAGUAAGUUAGGACACGAUCCUUUUUUAAUUCCCGAUAUCGUUUAAAACUUGAGUUUGAAAAUAUUCACGUAAUAAAGUUUAAAAGAAUAUUCAGUUGUUUAAAUCAAAUGAAGAAAUCUCAACCCAAUUCGUUAGGGCACAAUUUCUCAAAAUAUCAAACAUUAAAUAUUGCAUUUAUUUUUUUAAAAAAAUCUUCAUCUUAAGAAAUCAACGUGUCACAUCCAAUGCAUUAGGACACGACGUAUUGAAUUCUCGAUGAUGAGCUUUUUAUUUAUGUUUUUUUAUAAAAGAGUAAUUUCGAUUAUUUUGAUUCAACAAAGAAAAUCGGAACCCAAUACGUUAGGGCUCAAUUCUCUCGAAGAUCUCAAAUAUCGAGUGUUAUUUUUAUUUUGAAAUUUUCCGUUUUUGGAUAAAUCUGAGUAAAGAAAAAUGAAUGUAAAAUAAUAAUAAUGAUGAUAAUGAAAAUAAAAUAAUACAAGCAAAAUAAGAAAAGAUAAAUAAAUAAGAUGGCAAAUAUAAUAAAAAGAAAUCAACAAAUAAAAGUAAAUAAACAAAUAAAAUUAAAGCACUUUAAGUAAAUAAUAAUAAUGAGCAUGUAAAUAAAUAAAUAAAUUAACACCAAAUGAAACAAUAGUAAUGAAUAAAAUUAUGAUAUAUAUAUAUAUAUAUAUAUAUAUAUAUAUAUAUAUAUAUGCAUGUAUAUAUAUAUAUAUAUAUAUAUAUAUAUAUAUAUAUAUAUAUAUAUAUAUAUAUAUAUACGUACGCGCGCGAGCGAGAUAGAGAGAUAUAUACAUAUGUAUAUAUGCGUAUGUAUAUAUAUAUUUUUAUAUUUUUCNNNNNNNNNNNNNNNNNNNNNNNNNNNNNNNNNNNNNNNNNNNNNNNNNNNNNNNNNNNNNNNNNNNNNNNNNNNNNNNNNNNNNNNNNNNNNNNNNNNNUAUAUAUGUACAAAAAUGUAUGUAAGUAUACUUAUUUUUUUUAAGAUUAUAAAGUAAAUGCAAAAAAGAAUAUAUGUAUGUAUAUCUAAACUAUCAUAUAAUAAUAAUAUGAUGAAUAAAAAUGAUAUAAAUAAUAAUAGAAAUAAUAAUCAUAAUAAUAAAAGAUAAUAACAUUAAAAUAAUGAAGAAAAAAAAUAAUAAUAAAAGUGUUAAAAAAGGACUAAAUCGAAGUAAAAACAAAGAUACUGGGCGAAUUUAAACAUGGAAAAUACAAAGGGGACUCAUUUAUAAUGCGUGCGAAGCCUAGGGGAUCGAUUUGGAAAAUAUCCCGAGCCCUACACGCAGCGUUUUGACACGGGCUGAAAUGAAACAUAUGAGAAAUUAUGCGACCGAAUUUAAAAAACAAAACAGGACUAAAUUGCACCAGAGCGCUAAGGAGGAGGGGCCUCGCGCGCAAAUAUCCUCUCCAGCGAAAACACGCGGAUCCUCCGGGUCGGAUCGAGUCGACGGGCGGAUCUGGGGGCAAAACGGCGUCGUUUUAACGCCUGGGGCUAUGGCGCAAAACGGCGCCGUUUUGAGUGCUUAUAAAAUCAAAAAAAAAAAUUUAACUUCAUUUUCUGCUCUUUCAAAGAAAAAAACAAAUUCUCUUAAAAAAUCCUCUCUCCUUCCAGUCCGUAGCCCAGAAUCCGACGAGAAGAACCGCCGUCGACGCCGUCGUGCCGGCCACCGUGUAAAUUCAAAGGUAAUUUUUUUUGUCUUUCUUUUAUAUGUUAUAUAUAUAUAUACAGGUAUAUACAGGUUUUAAAAAAUAAAAGAAACAAAAUCAAACACAAAUAGUUCGAAAGAAAAAAAUAAGAAAAAAUAAAAAUAGAAAAGGAAAAUAGAUAUACCGAAAAAUGGGUUAUUGAAUCUGUUUUUUUUUUUUGCUUUUUUAUUUCUUUAAAUCGUGAAAAAGGGGGGCAGCCCCAUUACAGAUCUUUGAAUGACUUUAUAGCCAUUUUUACAAUAUUUUUUAUUUAUUACUUGUGAUUUCUUUCUCUAGUUUUGCAGGCAAGUGGCGAUGGGACGUGCGGUGGCAGAAGCUGCGGUGGCAGGGCAAGUGGGCGACAUGACCGUGGCGGCUGGUCAGCAGAUGCGGCGCUAGGGUUUCUUUUCUGAAACCCUAGUUUGACUUUGGGGGAUUGGGCCGGUUGUGUAGUUGGGCUAGGUUAUUGGGCUAAAUUAGGCUGCUGUUUUGUUUGGGUUAUGUUGUAUAGGUUUUGGGUAUUGGGUUUGUAAUUGAUUUUUGGGCUGGGCAAAUAUUGGGCUGUACAGAGAACAUAAUUCUACUUUAUGUGUUCUCAUUCACUUGAAUCAACUAUGUGUUGGGGUAAAAAAACAAUGAUAAACUUUACAAAAUUAAAGAUAAAUAAAGAGAUAAAUUAAUACAUAAAGAUAAAUAAAUGAUUUAUCUUAGAUAAAUAGAAGUAAUUUAUCUCCUAUUAUAUGUAUAUCCACAAUAAUUUAUUAUUUAUAAAUAUUAAAUAUUAAAUUAAAAAUAAUGUAAAUAUAUAUUUUUAUCUUAGAUAGAAAGAAAUAAUUUAUCUCCAUGGAUAAUUACAAUAAUUUAUUAUUUAUAACAAUUAAAUGUUAAAUUAAAAAUAAUAAUAUGACGGACUUCAAAUAAAUAAAUUUGGGUUAAUUGUUUAUCAUAUUUUAGUCAAAUUGACCCCAGUAUAAACAUUAAAUUAUGCAUACAUUACUAUAAUAAAUAGUGAAUUGUGGCCCAUAUAAUUUUAACUUGAUUAGUAUUGACAUUCUUACUAGUGCAGGAGAAUGUCGAUUUAAAUGCGCUGAAAUAUAUUUUCGUCCUAUUUAAAGUUUGAGAUAAGCUAUAGAUAGUUUCAUAUAUUAUAUAUAUAUAUAAAAAAAAACUUAUAUCAUAAAAAACUAUAAUAAGAUUAAUGUUCCCAAAAAAAAACCAAAUAAAUAAUUUAAGCAUGACAAUAAGAAGAAUACCAUAUUCCAUAUAUACCUCCUACAUAUCAUUUAUAUAAAAUUUAUAUAAUAUAAAGUCUUGUUCAAAACACCAAUACUUAAAUCUUAGCUUCAAUGGAAGAGAUGAAAUCUUUGAUUCUUCCCCAUUCAGCCUCAACACUCUUCUCUUCUUCCUCACCAACCUUGGCAGUGGCCUCACACUCUGCCAAUUCCUUUCCCAAUGCAUCCAACUCCAUUUUCAUUUCCUUGCAACUUCUGUAUAUCCCCUUUCGUUCAGCCAACAUCUUCUCCUUUCUCUUUUGUGCUUCUUCAACUUCCUCACGGAGGGCAGCAAGUGUUUGAUCCACCUGUUUCACCUCUGUUUCGACCUCCUUAUAUCUGAUUAGGCUACUCUCCAAAUUACAAGUCAUCGUCCGCUUCAUAGAUUCCUUGGCGGUAAGUUGAUCCUUGUCCUGCACUGCUUUCGCUGCUCGGUUAGCUAGUUCUUUCAAUCUUUCGUCCAAGCCCAACAACUCAUUCUUUUGAUCAAUUGUAAGGGUGGUGGAGGAACCAUCAAAACUAGCUAGGAUCAUGAAUGCCUGCUUAAGUGGAGAAAACUUCCNNNNNNNNNNNNNNNNNNNNNNNNNNNNNNNNNNNNNNNNNNNNNNNNNNNNNNNNNNNNNNNNNNNNNNNNNNNNNNNNNNNNNNNNNNNNNNNNNNNNNNNNNNNNNNNNNNNNNNNNNNNNNNNNNNNNNNNNNNNNNNNNNNNNNNACUCUUCAGGUUCAAUGGCCUGAAAUGGCGGAAAAGAAAAGCAAUAAUAAGAGAUAUAUAUAUACGCAUUAAUAUUAACUGAUUUAGGUAACGUACCACAGUCUGGCUAGAAGACUGAGUUGGUGAAGGAGGUGUGAUUUCUACUGGUUUGGUUGUAGGAGUUUUCUGGUUGUCUAUGACUGCCUUAACACAAUCAGCUUCCUUGGCCUUAAGUUCAUCCCAAUCAGUUUUGACUAUAAAUUCAUGGGAAAUAAAAUCUAGAGUCUUAUCAGUG